GGUGCUGGUGGCGUAGGGGUUAAGCGCGCGACUAUUUAUAGAGGCUAUAGUCCUUGAUGCAGCUGUCCCAGGUUCAAGUCCUGACCUUUGCCA